UACGUAGGCAGCAAGCGUUGUUCGGAAUUAUUGGGCGUAAAGAGCUCGUAGGCGGUUUGUCGCGUCUGCUGUGAAAACUGGAGGCUCAACCUCCAGCCUGCAGUGGGUACGGGCAGACUAGAGUGCGGUAGGGGAGAUUGGAAUUCCUGGUGUAGCGGUGGAAUGCGCAGAUAUCAGGAGGAACACCGGUGGCGAAGGCGGGUCUCUGGGCCGAUACUGACGCUGAGGAGCGAAAGCGUGGGGAGCGAACAGG
rnacentral:rRNA from 1 species